GAUCAAACUGACACCUCUGACCGACGUGAAGACAUAUUGCAGUGUAUGUGAACCAAUAGCUUGCUAGAAACAUGUACAGGUAUAUAGCGGUGUGCGGAGGGUUAAUUCAGAAUGUUCAGCGAUGGAACGCAAAGAAAAGGAACGCAACAGGAAGUGAUGGAACGCAAAGACAGGAAGUGAUGUAAGAUGCCAAAAGGAAGUGAUGUCACAUUCAGACAGGAAGUUCCGGGUGAGAGGCGAGUCGGGAAGAAAUAGAGAGGAGACAUUUUUGGAAUUGGCAGCAGAGGAGGAAAAAGCAUUUUAGCCUUUUACGAUCCGAUCCGGGGGAUCCCACCCAGGAAGAUUACUUCAUCUUUGAUCAGCUGAUGGACAUCAACGUUGUGGUCAAAGAGGACGAAGAGGAGUCGUAUGUGAGGGAUGGUCUGCAGUCUACGGAGGAGGAUGUGGAGAUGGUGACGACUAAACAGGAAGAGUCUUCACUAAAUUUCACCACAGUUUCAUCAUUACAAGAAGACAACUACGUACAAUGAAUGGAGGAUCUGAAGACCUUCUCACUGUUGGGUAAGAUUAUCUCUACAAGGACGUCAUGAUGGACAAUCAGCCGCCCCUCACAUCACCGGG